CCAAAUAAUACGAAAUGCGGUGAAUUUUCUCAUUCUACGGCGUGCAAAUAAAAUAUCUUUCUAUGUGAUGAUGUGAGAAAAAUUUUACAAACUUAGCCAACUUUCAUAUAUAUGAUAUUUUUGAAAAUUUA
rnacentral:sRNA from 1 species